rnacentral:rRNA from 1 species
AUCGGGAGUAGCAAUACUGCCGGCGACCGGCGCAAGGGUGCGUAACGCGUGAGCAACGAAUGCCCGUAUACAGGGGGGAUAAUCCAUGGAAACGUGGUCUAAUACCCCAUAGUAAUUAUGUAAGGCAUCUUAUAUAAUUUAAAGCUUUGGUGGAUACGGAUUGGCUCGCGUGACAUUAGCUGGAUGGUAAGGUAACGGCUUACCAUGGCUACGAUGUCUAGGGGUUCUGAGAGGAAGGUCCCCCCACACUGGAACUGAGACACGGUCCAGACUCCUACGGGAGGCAGCAGUGAGGAAUAUUGGACAAUGGAUGGAAAUCUGAUCCAGCCAUGCCGCGUGCAAGGAAGACGGCCCUAUGGGUUGUAAACUGCUUUUGUAUGGGAGCAAUAAGGGCUACGUGUAGUCCGAUGAGAGUACCCAUACGAAUAAGCACCGGCUAACUCCGUGCCAGCCGCCGC